AAAAAUUGAAGUUCUAAAGGUUCAUACCUCUGAAAAUGCUACCGACAUGCUCUCACCAAGUCUGUUACAAAAAUGAAGCUCCAAAAAUACUUCGAGCUAAUAGACUUUGACAUACCUGAAAAAAGAUGAUAAAGUCAGAAGAUGGAAAUAUGGUUGAACCCAUAAAAAUUGGAUUCAACAUGGAGAUUAUUUGUAAUAGUUGAAUUCUAACAUGAGAAGUUAGUUUUGUUUUCUAUUAUUUUUUCUUUUAUGUAAACACCUCUAUAUAAAGGUUUAUAACAAAAAUAUCAGUUUCCUUCUUUUACAUUUGGAUACAGAAAGUAAAAGAAAAAGAAAACUAAAAUACUAUACUCAUCUCAAGGUCAUUCAAGAAAGUGAUCCUUCCCAUGGAUGUAGAUAUUUUGGCCAAACCACUUACAUCCGGUGCUCUUCUUCUUCACCUUCAUCUUCAAUCUAUG
rnacentral:lncRNA from 1 species